UGGAAAUUUGAUAUUUUUACGAUAAUACGUUGCCGGUUUAUGAUUCAAUCAGCAUUUGGUUAUGGCACCAAAAUAAACACUGAUGUCGACGAUCCGCAGGCUGCUUUCGGUCUAUCCAUCCUUGAACCAAUCAACACCUAUAUUACGCAGGUUGUAGAAAAUAGCCGCGCCUGGCACUGCAUAGGAGCACACCAUAAGCACAGUUAAAUUAGUAGACCAACGGUAUUGAUUUAAGCAAGGGACGGAAUCGUGCGGAGAAUGCUUCUGAGUUGCGAUGGGGGACGAAUAACGACUGGUUGUAAAUGUAUUCAGCACAAUUUUGGGGAUUCGUUGGACAUGAUAUUUUACAAUUAUACACCGACGGUAUACGAUUCGAUCAGCAUGUCAACUCAUGUCAACGACAACGAUUUGCAUUCGUCUUGGUACUAAUCAGCAACAAAAUUACGCACGUUUCACAGAUGACAGAUCAGUACAGCAUCAGCAGUCAACGCCCUGAAAUACAGCCUUGGCAGGCAUAGUUGAGGACCUCCCGCAGUUCAAUUAGAAAUACUCGCUUCCUAUGUCACAUACUGACCAUCGCUGUGCAUCAUUACUCUCAUCAACUUGAUACCUACCAAUAAGGUUGGACAUAGAGAACUGAAUCUCGACUGACGACAUGUUCAAAUGUCUCCAACGGAA